AUGGGUGUGGGUUUUCUAAUGUUAAAACACAAGAGGGGCAUGAGAGAUCUUAAAUAGAUGGGUGGAGAGAGUUAGUUCAGCCCUAUUCCAAAUAGGACUCAUAAAUCUUGGUCAAACUCUAACUAAUUCUUGGAUCCAAUCCUAACUAAUUUAAGAAUUAGUUAUAACAAACUAACUAAUUAGGUCCUAGUCCAAUUAUGAAAUUAAUUAGGUCCCAA
rnacentral:lncRNA from 1 species